rnacentral:rRNA from 1 species
CACACUGUCAACGAUGUGCACUAGGUGCUGGGGCGGACGCUUCAGUGCCGGAGCUAACGCGGUAAGUGCACCGCCUGGGGAGUAUGCUCGCAAGGGUGAAACUCAAAGGAAUUGACGGGGGCCCGCACAAGCGGUGGAGCAUGUGGUUUAAUUCGAUGGUACACGAGGAACCUUACCUGGGUUUGACAUGCACAGGAAUACGGUAGAGAUAUCGUAGUCUCGCAAGAGACCUGUGAACAGGUGC